AAUAAACGCUGGCGGCGUGCCUAACACAUGCAAGUCGAACGAGAAAGCCUGAUUUCGGUCGGGCGAGUAAAGUGGCGCACGGGUGAGUAACGCGUAGGUAACCUGCCCCUGUGUCCGGGAUAACAGUGCGAAAGCGCUGCUAAUACCGGAUACGGCCAAGAGACGGAGGUUUCUUGGUCAAAGUCGGCCUCUCGAUGAAGCCGGCGCGCGGGGAUGGGCCUGCGUCCUAUCAGCUAGUUGGUAGGGUAACGGCCUACCAAGGCUUCGACGGGUAGCUGGUCUGAGAGGAUGAUCAGCCACACUGGCACUGAAACACGGGCCAGACUCCUACGGGUGGCAG
rnacentral:rRNA from 1 species